rnacentral:sRNA from 1 species
GCUGGGUGCAGUGGUGCACACCUGUAAUCCCAGCAGCUCUGGAAGCUGAGGCAGGAGGAUUGCAAAUUCAAAGUCAGCCUCAGCAACUCAGUGAGACUCUGUCUCUA